rnacentral:rRNA from 1 species
CCUACGGGUGGCAGCAGUGGGGAAUAUUGCUCAAUGGGGGAAACCCUGAUGCAGCGACGCCGCGUGAAGGAUGAAGUAUCUCGGUGUGUAAACUUUUAUCAGCAGGGAAGUAAAUGACGGUACCUGACUAAGAAGCCCCGGCUAACUACGUGCCAGCAGCCGCGGUAAUACGUAGGGGGCAAGCGUUAUCCGGAUUUACUGGGUGUAAAGGGAGCGUAGGCGGUUUAGAAAGUCAGAAGUGAAAGCCCGGGGCUCAACCCCGGGACUGCAUUUGAAACUGUUGAACUAGAUUGCAGGAGAGGUAAGUGGAAUUCGUAGUGUAGCGGUGAAAUGCGUAGAUAUUAGGAGGAACACCAGUUGCGAAGGCGGCUUACUGGACUGUAAAUGACGCUGAGGCUCGAAAGCGUGGGGAGCAAACAGGAUUAGAUACCCGGGUAGUC